UACCAGCACCCCGAGUGGUCGGGACGAUUAUUGGGCCUAAAGCAUCCGUAGCCGGUCUUACAAGUCCCCCGUUAAAUCCAACUGCUUAACAGAUAGGCCGCGGAGGAUACUAUAAGACUAGGAGGCAGGAGAGGCAAGCGGUACUCAGUGGGUAGGGGUAAAAAUCCGUUGAUCCAUUGAAGACCACCAGUGGCGAAGGCGGCUUGCCAGAAUGCGCUCGACGGUGAGGGAUGAAAGCUGGGGGG
rnacentral:rRNA from 1 species